rnacentral:rRNA from 1 species
UACGAAGGGGGCAAGCGUUGUUCGGAAUUACUGGGCGUAAAGGGCGCGCAGGCGGCCGAUCAAGUCAGAUGUGAAAGCCCCCGGGCUCAACCUGGGAAUAGCAUUUGGGACUGGUCGGCUAGAGUUCGGGAGAGGAGAGUGGAAUUCCCCAGUGUAGAGGUGAAAUUCGUAGAUAUCGGGAGGAACACCAGUGGCGAAGGCGGCGAUCUGGGAAGAUACUGACGCUGAGGUGCGAAAGCGUGGGGAGCAAACAGG